rnacentral:rRNA from 1 species
CGCCGCGUGAGUGAUGAAGGUUUUCGGAUCGUAAAGCUCUGUUGUUAGGGAAGAACAAGUGCCGUUCGAAUAGGGCGGCACCUUGACGGUACCUAACCAGAAAGCCACGGCUAACUACGUGCCAGCAGCCGCGGUAAUACGUAGGUGGCAAGCGUUGUCCGGAAUUAUUGGGCGUAAAGCGCGCGCAGGCGGUCUCUUAAGUCUGAUGUGAAAGCCCACGGCUCAACCGUGGAGGGUCAUUGGAAACUGGGGGACUUGAGUACAGAAGAGGAAAGUGGAAUUCCACGUGUAGCGGUGAAAUGCGUAGAUAUGUGGAGGAACACCAGUGGCGAAGGCGACUUUCUGGUCUGUAACUGACGCUGAGGCGCGAAAGCGUGGGGAGCAAACAGGA